UGGCGGACGGGUGAGUAACGCGUGAGCAACCUAUCCUUAAGUGGGGGAUAACAGUUGGAAACGACUGCUAAUACCGCAUGAGACCACAUCACCACCUGGUGAAGGGGUCAAAGAUUUAUCGCUUUUGGAGGGGCUCGCGUCCCAUUAGCUAGUUGGUAGGGUAAUGGCCUACCAAGGCGACGAUGGGUAGCCGACCUGAGAGGGUGAUCGGCCACACUGGAACUGAGACACGGUCCAGACUCCUACGGGAGGCAGCAGUGGGGAAUAUUGGGCAAUGGGGGAAACCCUGACCCAGCAACGCCGCGUGAGGGAAGAAGGCCUUUGGGUUGUAAACCUUUGUCCUAUGGGAAGAAGCAAGUGACGGUACCAUAGGAGGAAGCUCCGGCUAACUACGUGCCAGCAGCCGCGGUAAUACGUAGGGAGCAAGCGUUGUCCGGAAUUACUGGGCGUA
rnacentral:rRNA from 1 species